AGUGAACGCUGGCGGUAGGCCUAACACAUGCAAGUCGAACGGCAGCACAGUAAGAGCUUGCUCUUACGGGUGGCGAGUGGCGGACGGGUGAGGAAUACAUCGGAAUCUACUUUUUCGUGGGGGAUAUCGUAGGGAAACUUACGCUAAUACCGCAUACGACCUACGGGUGAAAGCAGGGGAUCUUCGGACCUUGCGCGAUUGAAUGAGCCGAUGUCGGAUUAGCUAGUUGGCGGGGUAAAGGCCCACCAAGGCGACGAUCCGUAGCUGGUCUGAGAGGAUGAUCAGCCACACUGGAACUGAGACACGGUCCAGACUCCUACGGGAGGCAGCAGUGGGGAAUAUUGGACAAUGGGCGCAAGCCUGAUCCAGCCAUACCGCGUGGGUGAGGAAGGCCUUCGGGUUGUAAAGCCCUUUUGUUGGGAAAGAAAAGCAGCAGGUUAAUACCCCGCUGUUCUGACGGUACCCAAAGAAUAAGCACCGGCUAACUUCGUG
rnacentral:rRNA from 1 species